GUGGGGAAUAUUGGACAAUGGGCGCAAGCCUGAUCCAGCAAUGCCGCGUGGGUGAAGAAGGCCUUCGGGUUGUAAACCGCUUUUGUCAGGGAAGAAAUCCUUUGGGUUAAUACCUCGGAGGGAUGACGGUACCUGAAGAAUAAGCACCGGCUAACUACGUGCCAGCAGCCGCGGUAAUACGUAGGGUGCGAGCGUUAAUCGGAAUUACUGGGCGUAAAGCGUGCGCAGGCGGUUUUGUAAGAUCGAUGUGAAAUCCCCGGGCUCAACCUGGGAACUGCAUUGGUGACUGCAAGGCUGGAGUGCGGCAGAGGGGGAUGGAAUUCCGCGUGUAGCAGUGAAAUGCGUAGAUAUGCGGAGGAACACCGAUGGCGAAGGCAAUCCCCUGGGCCUGCACUGACGCUCAUGCACGAAAGCGUGGGGAGCAAACAGGAUUAGAAACCCGGGUAGUCC
rnacentral:rRNA from 1 species